AUUGAACGCUGGCGGCAGGCCUAACACAUGCAAGUCGAACGGUAACAGGAAGAAGCUUGCUUCUUUGCUGACGAGUGGCGGACGGGUGAGUAAUGUCUGGGAAACUGCCUGAUGGAGGGGGAUAACUACUGGAAACGGUAGCUAAUACCGCAUAACGUCGCAAGACCAAAGAGGGGGACCUUCGGGCCUCUUGCCAUCGGAUGUGCCCAGAUGGGAUUAGCUAGUAGGUGGGGUAACGGCUCACCUAGGCGACGCUCCCUAGCUGGUCUGAGAGGAUGACCAGCCACACUGGAACUGAGACACGGUCCAGACUCCUACGGGAGGCAGCAGUGGGGAAUAUUGCACAAUGGGCGCAAGCCUGAUGCAGCCAUGCCGCGUGUAUGAAGAAGGCCUUCGGGUUGUAAAGUACUUUCAGCGGGGAGGAAGGGAGUAAAGUUAAUACCUUUGCUCAUUGACGUUACCCGCAGAAGAAGCACCGGCUAACUCCGUG
rnacentral:rRNA from 1 species